AACGAACGCUGGCGGCAUGCCUAAUACAUGCAAGUCGAACGAAAACUCUGGGUCUAUUGGCGCACGGCUUCGUAACGCGUGGGAAUCUUCACUUGGGUUCGGACUAACUGUGAGAAAUUGCUGCUAAUACCGGAUGAUGGCUUCGGACCAAGGAUUUAUCGCCCCGGGAUGAGCCCGCGUAGGAUUAGCCAGUUGGUAGGGUGAUGGCCUACCAGGGCGAGGAUUCUUAGCUGGUCUGUGAGAAUGAUCAGCCACACCGGGACUCGGACGCGGCCCAGACUCCUACGCGAGGGGGCAGUGCGGGAUAGUGGAAAAUGGGCGCAGGGCUGAAGGUGCACUGACGGGUAAGUGCUGAAGGCCUUAAAGUUGUAAAGCGCUUUUAACAGGGAUGAUAAUGACGGUACCUGGAGAAUAAGCUCCGGCUAACUCCGUG
rnacentral:rRNA from 1 species